UGCGAAAGCGCGGGAGCAAACAGGAUUAGAUACCCUGGUAGUCCACGCUGUAAACGAUGUCGAUUUGGAGGUUGUUCCCUUGAGGAGUGGCUUCCGGAGCUAACGCGUUAAAUCGACCGCUGGGGAGUACGGCCGCAAGGUUAAAACUCAAAUGAAUUGACGGGGGCCCGCACAAGCGGUGGAGCAUGUGGUUUAAUUCGAUGCAACGCGAAGAACCUUACCUACUCUUGACAUCCAGAGAAUUUAGCAGAGAUGCUUUAGUGCCUUCGGGAACUCUGAGACAGGUGCUGCAUGGCUGUCGUCAGCUCGUGUUGUGAAAUGUUGGGUUAAGUCCCGCAACGAGCGCAACCCUUAUCCUUUGUUGCCAGCACAUUAUGGUGGGAACUCAAAGGAGACUGCCGGUGAUAAACCGGAGGAAGGUGGGGAUGACGUCAAGUCAUCAUGGCCCUUACGAGUAGGGCUACACACGUGCUACAAUGGCGUAUACAAAGAGAAGCGACCUCGCGAGAGCAAGCGGAACUCAUAAAGUACGUCGUAGUCCGGAUUGGAGUCUGCAACUCGACUCCAUGAAGUCGGAAUCGCUAGUAAUCGUAGAUCAGAAUGCUACGGUGAAUACGUUCCCGGGCCUUGUACACACCGCCCGUCACACCAUGGGAGUGGGUUGCAAAAGAAGUAGGUAGCUUAACCUUCGGGAGGGCGCUUACCACUUUGUGAUUCAUGACUGGGGUGAAGUCGUAACAAGGUAACCA
rnacentral:rRNA from 1 species